CUACAUUCUCAAUUCAACACAGAAAGAUGUUGUGGAUGUUGGCAUUGGAGGCAGCUUUUUAGGUCCCCUCAUUGUACACACUGCACUUCAGACAGGUUAGCAUGGAGAGAAAUGGCCAGAGUGUGUCAAUUGAUGGUAGUUCUCUCCUUUGGAGGCAGGCAAUAUCACUUUUUUGUUUCAGUACAAGAUUCCUCUGGUAUGUGAAUAGAUGAAUUGAAUAUGACCACUCACACAUCAACAAUUAAGAUAAUGCGGAAAGUUGCUUUGAAACUGUAAGGCAUCAACUUACAGUGUACUUUGUUUUGACAGUUG